GUGGGGAAUUUUGGACAAUGGGCGCAAGCCUGAUCCAGCAAUGCCGCGUGCAGGAAGAAGGCCUUCGGGUUGUAAACUGCUUUUGUACGGAACGAAACGGUCCGGGUUAAUACCCUGGGCUAAUGACGGUACCGUAAGAAUAAGCACCGGCUAACUACGUGCCAGCAGCCGCGGUAAUACGUAGGGUGCAAGCGUUAAUCGGAAUUACUGGGCGUAAAGCGUGCGCAGGCGGUUCUGUAAGACAGGCGUGAAAUCGCCGGGCUCAACCUGGGAAUUGCGCUUGUGACUGCAAGGCUGGAGUGCGGCAGAGGGGGAUGGAAUUCCGCGUGUAGCAGUGAAAUGCGUAGAUAUGCGGAGGAACACCGAUAGCGAAGGCAAUCCCCUGGGCCUGCACUGACGCUCAUGCACGAAAGCGUGGGGAGCAAACAGGAUUAGAUACCCUUGUAGUCC
rnacentral:rRNA from 1 species